rnacentral:sRNA from 1 species
AAUCGGGUACGCCUGCGUGAUGAGGUCC